rnacentral:rRNA from 1 species
AAUCAACGCUGGCGGCGUGCCUAACACAUGCAAGUCGAACGAGAAGGUGACUUCGGUCACUGGAUAGUGGCGUCCGGGUGAGUAACACGUAGGUAAUCUACCUUCGGGUGGGGAAUAACGUCUCGAAAGAGACGCUAAUACCGCAUAAUGCAGCGGCACCUAAUGGUGAUUAGUUGUUAAAGCGGGGGAGUCUUCGGACCUCGCGCCUGAAGAGGAGCCUGCGGCAGAUUAGCUAGUUGGUGAGGUAAUGGCUCACCAAGGCUUCGAUCUGUAGCUGGUCUGAGAGGACGGCCAGCCACACUGGCACUGACACACGGGCCAGACUCCUACGGGAGGCAGCAGUGGGGAAUUUUGGGCAAUGGGCGAAAGCCUGACCCAGCAACGCCGCGUGAAGGAGGAAAUCCUUCGGGAUGUAAACUUCGCAAGAACGGGAAGAAUAAGUAGGGGACAAUACCCCUAUGAUGACGGUACCGUUAGUAAGCUCCGGCUAACUCCGUGCCAG